UGUAGUCUGCAACUCGACUACAUGAAGCUGGAAUCGCUAGUAAUCGCAGAUCAGAAUGCUGCGGUGAAUACGUUCCCGGGUCUUGUACACACCGCCCGUCACACCAUGGGAGUCGGAAAUGCCCGAAGCCGGUGACCAAACCAAUAAGGAAGGAGCCGUCGAAGGCAGGUCUGAUAACUGGGGUGAAGUCGUAACAAGGUAAC
rnacentral:rRNA from 1 species